rnacentral:rRNA from 1 species
UACGUAGGGUGCGAGCGUUGUCCGGAAUUAUUGGGCGUAAAGGGCUCGUAGGCGGUUUGUCGCGUCGGGAGUGAAAACACCGGGCUUAACUCGGUGCUUGCUUUCGAUACGGGCAGACUAGAGGCAUGCAGGGGAGGACGGAAUUCCUGGUGUAGCGGUGAAAUGCGCAGAUAUCAGGAGGAACACCGGUGGCGAAGGCGGUUCUCUGGGCAUGUCCUGACGCUGAGGAGCGAAAGCGUGGGGAGCGAACAGG